rnacentral:rRNA from 1 species
AGAGUUUGAUCCUGGCUCAGGACGAACGCUGGCGGCGUGCUUAACACAUGCAAGUCGAACGGAGAACUUAUUUCGGUAAGUUCUUAGUGGCGAACGGGUGAGUAACGCGUGGGCAACCUGCCCUCCAGUUGGGGACAACAUUCCGAAAGGGAUGCUAAUACCGAAUGUGCUCCCUCCUCCGCAUGGAGGAGGGAGGAAAGAUGGCCUCUGCUUGCUAAGCUAUCGCUGGAAGAUGGGGCCCGCGUCUGAUUAGCUAGUUGGUGGGGUAACGGCUCGACCAAGGCGAUGAUCAGUAGCCGGUCUGAGAGGAUGAACGGCACAUUGGGACUGAGACACGGCCCAAACUCCUACGGGAGCA